rnacentral:tRNA from 1 species
CGGCCAUAGGUGGCCGCCAUGAACACCGCCGCCUGCUCGUGGCGGGUGAUGACCAGCUCGAUGCUGGAAUGGCGGA